GUGAUGAUGCUGAACUGAUAGCUGCAUCCCAGUCUGUGGAAGAUUCACUGAAGUCCCAACACUCCUUGUCUGCAAGUCAACCUUUAAAGCAACGGCUGACAAGCAGAGGUGUUUCCUCCUCCCAGACGUCUGGAACAUAGGAGAACUCAGCUCCCCUGUCCAAGGAGUUUGAGAACACUGUACAGUCACCACAUCAAAAUAAAUCUACUGUGCAGCCCAAACAUCGUGAGUCCACAGAGGCUGCCAUACAGUCCAAAAAACUUGACACUGUUGGAUUCACUGAGUCAUCUGCAUCCCAGGGUCAUGAUCAUACAACACAAUUACUGUUGAGUCAUUCACCUGUGGAGCUAGAGGGAUGGGUGCGUCCCUGGGAAAAUCCUAAUGGUAUCCCAUCUGCUGACAUUUCCUGGCUUAAAGAGGACACUGAAAGAGGACUGUUUACCCCUGUUCAGACAUACAAGGAUGUUACUGGUGUGUUGAAGAGGCGACGGGUGAUUAAAUCAGAUCGCAUGUGGUUUUACCCACCAGAACCUCCUGGCUAUGCCAGGGGUGCUGUGCCCAGUGUACAGCUCUUUUUUCGCAGCCGUGUCUUUUUGUGGCAUCCUGUUGGGGUAUGGAAGUACUCCCUGAAGUGUCCUCGAGCUGACGAGUGUGUGGGUAAAGGACAAAAUGUGCACCUAUAUAAGUCUGGCUAUCACCACCGGGUAAUUUCACAUAAAUAUUUUACUCAAGUCUUCAAAUGUAAACGGUAAAACUGCCAUCCUGGAUUCAUAUGCUUAUUUUGGCCAUUUUCUC